GAUGAACGCUGGCGGCGUGCCUAAUACAUGCAAGUCGAGCGAACGGAAGAGAAGCUUGCUUCUCUGAUUUUAGUGGCGGACGGGUGAGUAACACGUGGAUAACCUACCUAUCAGACUGGGAUAACUUCCGGAAACCGGAGCUAAUACCGGAUAAUAUUUUGAACCGCAUGGUUUAAAAGUGAAAGAAGGUCCUGCCGUCACCUGUUGAUGGGUCCGCGGUGCAUUAGCUAGUUGGUAAGGUAACGGCUUACCAAGGCACCGAUGCAUAGCCGACCUGAGAGGGUGAUCGGCCACACUGGAACUGAGACACGGCCCAGACUCCUACGGGAGGCAGCAGUAGGGAAUCUUCCGCAAUGGGCGCAAGCCUGACGGAGCAACGCCGCGUGAGUGAUGAAGGUCUUCGGAUCGUAAAACUCUGUUGUUAGGGAAGAACAUAUGUGUAAGUAACUGUUCACAUCUUGACGGUACCUAAUCAGAAAGCCACGGCUAACUACGUG
rnacentral:rRNA from 1 species